GCUCAGUUGGGAUGGCUCAGUUGGUUGAGCAUCAGACUCUUAAUGUCAGGGCUGUUGGUUUGAGCCCUACAUUGGGCA